rnacentral:ncRNA from 2 species
UAUAGACCAGGGAAUGAGGCACUCCCUUGACAAGAUUUGUCUAAACCGCCCGAAAUGGCUGAUGGCUUCUGCAUUUUA